rnacentral:pre_miRNA from 1 species
AAUAGAAUUACUUGGUCAUGUAGUAAUUUUACAUUUAACAUUUUAAGAAACUGCCAAACUAUUUUCAAAAGUGGGUUCACCAUUUUACCUUCCCAUCAGCAAU